rnacentral:lncRNA from 1 species
UGUGCUCCAAGGUCUCCUCGUCGGCCAAACAACAGGAACACUCCAGCUAGAUAUCCAUACCUUGGCCCCGAAGAAGGGUUCUGGUCGGUAGCCAACACCAAGCCACCUUUCAGAGAAAAAGAUGCACUCUUGGGUGCACUCUCAUCCUCCAUAUCCAUCCAAGCUCUAUGUAUCUUCUUGCUUCACUCUGAUAAAUCUGAUAGAGAUCAGCCAUCACGACCCUCGAAAUAUAAGAGUGGCCCCAAACCUUGACAUCUGAACUACCAA